rnacentral:rRNA from 1 species
GAUGAACGUUGGCGGCGUGGAUUAGGCAUGCAAGUCGAGCGAGAAGGUUCCUUCGGGAACCGGAAAGCGGCGAACGGGGUAGUAAUGCGUAGGUGACGUGCCCUUGGGGCCGGAAUAGCUACGGGAAACUGUAGGUAAUGCCGGAUAACCUCCCGAUUUUUGAAGAUAACGGGAGCAAUGGGUGUGAUUCCACCCAUGGAGCGGCCUGCGUGGUAUUAGCUAGUUGGUGAGGUAAUGGCUCACCAAGGCUCAGAUGCCUAGGGGGUGUGAGAGCAUGGCCCCCACCACUGGGACUGAGAUACGGCCCAGACACCUACGGGUGGCUGCAGUCGAGAAGCUUCGGCAAUGGACGAAAGUCUGACCGAGCGACGCCGCGUGCGGGAUGAAGGCCCUCGGGUUGUAAACCGCUGUCAGAGGGGAUGAAAUGCGCAUGGGUUCUCCCAUACGCUUGACAGAGCCUCAGAGGAAGCACGGGCUAAGUACGUGCCAGCAGCCGCCGUAACAC